rnacentral:rRNA from 1 species
AUGGCGCCAUGGAUGGGGUUGGUGCUGGUGCUGGUCGUGCUGUGCGUGCGGCCGGCCGCCUCGGCCAACACCGUGCCGGCGGCGUCGUACAUCGUCCACAUGGAGAAGUCGGCCAUGCCGAGCCCCUUCUCCAGCCACCUGCGCUGGUACGCCUCCACGCUCGCCGCGGCCGCGCCGGGGGCAAAGAUGCUCUACGCCUACGACUACGCCACACACGGGUUCGCGGCGCGCCUUCGUGAGGAGGAACUCGCCGUGCUCCGCCGAUCCCCCGGCUUCAUCUCCUGCUACCGCGACGACGCCCGGGUGGUGCGCGACACGACGCACACCCCCGAGUUCCUCGGCGUCGGCGCGGCCGGGGGGAUUUGGGAGGCUUCAAGCUACGGCGACAACGUCAUCAUCGGCGUGGUGGACACGGGCGUGUGGCCCGAGAGCGCGAGCUUCCGCGACGACGGGCUCCCCCCGGUGCCGGCGCGGUGGAAGGGCUUCUGCGAGUCCGGCACGGCGUUCGACGCCGCCAAGGUGUGCAACCGGAAGCUCGUCGGCGCGCGCAAGUUCAACAAGGGCCUCAUCGCCAACAACGUGACCGUCGCUGUCAACUCCCCGCGGGACACGAACGGCCACGGCACGCACACGUCGUCCACGGCCGCCGGCUCGCCCGUGUCGGGCGCGUCCUUCUUCGGCUACGCCCGAGGCAUCGCUCGCGGCAUGGCGCCCCGUGCCAGGGUGGCGGUGUACAAGGCCCUGUGGGACGAAGGCUCGUACGCUUCCGACAUACUCGCCGCCAUGGACCAGGCGAUCGCCGACGGCGUCGACGUGCUCUCCCUCUCCCUUAGCCUGAAAGGCCGGCAGUUAUACGAAGACCCUGUAGCCAUUGGCGCGUUCGCGGCGAUGCAGCGCGGCGUGUUCGUGUCAACUUCGGCGGGCAACGAUGGACCGGACCUCGGGUACCUCCACAACGGCUCGCCGUGGGUGCUCACCGUCGCGUCGGGCAGGGUGGACCGGGAGUUGUCCGGCAUCGUCAGGCUCGGCGACGGCACGACCUUCAUCGGCGAAACGCUCUACCCGACUAGGAUUCCUGCUAGAGCAUGGUGGCGCGGGUUGCAGUGCAGCACCCGUUGCUUAGUCCAAUUAAUUCAUCGUAAUAUAUGGCAUCAUGAACCAUUUAAGUUAAAUUUGUAUUUGGUACUUGAUCAUAUCUAUCGACCUUCAUCCUCUCCCACCAAAAGCCUGCUCAUCAAACCUUGA